rnacentral:misc_RNA from 1 species
AACGCACCUUGCGCUCCUUGGUAUUCCGAGGAGUGUGCCUGUUUGAGUGUCAUGGAAUUCUCAACCUUCAACACUUUUGUGAAGAAGGCUUGGACUUGGAGGCCGUGUUGGCUGGCAGCAGUCGACUCCUCUGAAUGUAUUAGUUGCGAACCUUACGGAUCGCUUCGGUGUGAUAAUUGUCUACGCCGUGGUGUUGAAGUAUAGCAGUGUUCGAGUUUCUAACAGUCCGCAAGGACAAUUUUUUGACAAUCUGACCUCAAAUCAGGUAGGACUACCCGCUGGACUUAA